UACGUAGGGUGCAAGCGUUGUCCGGAAUUAUUGGGCGUAAAGGGUCUGUAGGCGGUCUUAAAGGUCCGGCGUGACAAUUCUCGGCUUAACUGAGAGAGUGCGUUGGAAACCGGAAGACUAGAAUCACGUCGAGGUCGGUGGAAUUUCCGGUGUAGCGGUGAAAUCGCGUAGAUAUCGGAAGGAACAUCAGUGGCGAAAGCGGCUUCCAUGGACCAGCACCGACGGUCAGGCACGAAAGCGUCGG
rnacentral:rRNA from 1 species